rnacentral:rRNA from 1 species
CCUACGGGUGGCAGCAGUGAGGAAUAUUGGUCAAUGGGCGGGAGUCUGAACCAGCCAAGUCGCGUGAGGGAAGACGGUCCUAUGGAUUGUAAACCUCUUUAGGCGGGGAGCAAUGCCGGGCACGCGUGCCCGGAGGGAGAGUACCCGCAGAAUAAGCAUCGGCUAACUCCGUGCCAGCAGCCGCGGUAAUACGGAGGAUGCGAGCGUUAUCCGGAUUUAGUGGGUUUAAAGGGUGCGUAGGCGGAUUUUUAAGUCAGCGGUAAAAUGUCCGGGCUCAACCCGGGCCGGCCGUUGAAACUGGGGAGCUUGAGUGGGCGAGAAGUAUGCGGAAUGCGUGGUGUAGCGGUGAAAUGCAUAGAUAUCACGCAGAACUCCGAUUGCGAAGGCAGCAUACCGGCGCCCGACUGACGCUGAGGCACGAAAGCGUGGGGAUCGAACAGGAUUAGAUACCCGGGUAGUC